rnacentral:rRNA from 1 species
AUCGAACGCUGGCGGCAUGCUUAACACAUGCAAGUCGAACGAGUGGCGGACGGGUGAGUAGUGUUUGGGAGACUGCCUGAUGGAGGUGGAUGAAUACUCGAAACGGUCGCUGAUUCCUCCUACCUUCGGAUGUGCCCAGGUGGGAUUGGUUUGUAGGUGUGGUAAAGGGUCACCUAGGCGACGAUCCCUAGCUGGGCUGAGAGGGUGACCGGCGAAACUGGAACUGAGACACGGUCCAGACGCCUACGCGAGGCAGCAGGGGGGAAGAUGGCAAAAUGGGCGAAAGCGUGAUGCAGCCAUGCCGCGUGUAUGAAGAAGGCAUUCGGGUUGUAAAGUACUAUAAGCGGGGAGGCGGUACGUGCAGAAGAAGCGCCGGCUAACUACGUGCCAGCAGCCGCGGUAAUAC